AUAUUCUGUUACUGUAUAAUUGUACGACAAUACAUUUUUAUUCUGUAACUUUUACUUUGGAAUGUCCCCAUAACAUAAAGCAAAAGUCGUAAUAUGGUAAAAGAAUUAGUAGAAUGGAUACUUAUAUUCAUUAAUUAAUUUGAUCUUUAUUUUGGUCUUGUUUCUCUCUAUUUCUGCUAUGUAAUGUCCUUUCUCUUGCUUUAAUAGGUACUCCAUGUCAAGAUUGAUGUUAAACCAACAAUGAGAAUCUUCUGAAACACCCAUCGUGUAAGCAUGUUGUGUUCAAACAUCAAGUAUAUCAGAGAAUCAUCAUUUUAACAAUUUCUUAUCAAUGUUUCUUUUUUAUCUUUUUGUAAUGAUGCUGUCAAGUUGAUGUUUAAUUAAGUUUUGAAGGUGAUCAUUAUAAUCCCAUUUGUAUUCCAAUUUUUUUGCUCCAUAUGUUUGAUUCAGCCUCUUUUAGUUAAAAUUGUUAUGCAAAUAGUUCGUAUAUUCCUUAAAUGUGUUGUCAUUAUUGGGCUGUGUAAGAUGUUGGAUUGGGAAUGGAAAGAUAUCAUUCAGUUUCCAUUAUCUUGGAGUUUAAAGCAAAAUGUCAAACCAGAGAGUCCUGCUAAAAUCCAUGUCAGAAUGAUUACAGCAUAAACAUUUCACAUAAUUUUGUGAACAUAAUAAUCCCCAAAUCUUUGUAUAUACUUGGAGAACCUAUUUCAGGCACACGACAAAAAUAUUACUAGCUAUUUUCCUAUUGACAAGUUUGAUUGCUACUUUCCAUCUAAACAUUCUGAAAAUUGACAACCCAAAAAUGAACUUUACGUAAAGGACCUUGUUGGAGCACAACAAAUGAAACAAGUUGUAAAUAGUGAAUUGGAAUAGAAAUUUUCCAAUUUAGGCCGGAGACAAACCACGAUUGCCAUCAAUUCAAAUUCAAUGCCUACUCUACUGUCCAAGGACUUAUUUAUAGCUUAGACUCCUAAACAAACUCCCACUUGAACUCAAGCCACGUUCUCCUUCACUUGGGCCGGAAGAUGAGGAACAGACCAGAUAUUUCGAGUUCUAACUUCCAGCAGCUUUUGAAUCAGCGCUCCUGGUUCUACGGUUAACAUAGCCAAAUAUUUCGAAUUGGGCUUCCUUAUUCUUCGAGGCUUAAACAAAAGAGUAUUAAAGACACAAGUAGGUAGGUAGAGAAGACGUAGGGGUACACGAUACUCUUUCCAAGGAAACCAGGUAAAAUAGCCAGUAUCGCAUGACCUAACAUAAGUUCCAAAUGAAACCAACUCUUAUCCACGAUUUGCUUUCUCUCACAUUGUCUGCCUUACAACUACUGGAUUUUCUUUUCUGGUUCCACUUUCUUUGCUGUCAAUUGCUACCAUCCAUUUCAUUUGCGAUCUUGGGGAUAGAUCUUCCAGAAAUGGACAUUGAAAUGGGAAUGAAGGGACCAACGAAUUCAGGAUAACUAAGCCUGGACAAUUUCUUUAACAAAGUGUGCAUCAGAGGAGGAGUGGUCUUUAGUUUAUUUUGUUCAAUUUAAAGUUUCACUUUCCUCUUGUUCAUUGUUGCUAGGUUCAAAAGAUAGAGAAACAAUAUGAAAAACUCAAUAAGCUACUCAGAAAGCUUCUGGUAUUAGUUUGUCCACUGCUCCGGUGGUUUUUCGAACCUUCUUGUGAAAGUGGUUUCCCAUACAAAUCUGCAGCUACUGAAUUUUCCUCCAUUUAGUAUAGAGGUAGGUUCUUUUUGUUUCUAUAUCUUGUAAGUUCAGAGGGCUAAAUCCAAGAGAUGUGAUAGUGGAGGAAAGGCUGGGAUUUCGUGUCAUUUCUACUGAUAUAAUCACAAUCUACUGAUGUUGUAUAGAAA